ensembl:lncRNA
AGCGGCCUCUCCCUAGAAGGAAGGAAAGGAAGAGCCAAAGAGAGGUACAGAGAGAAAAUAAAGCAAGAUGUUGGACAUUUACAUCUCCAUGUCCCUGUCUUCUACAAGGAGUUAAGCAAUCUUCAAUACAACUGGAUGCUUCCUUCCCAAAAUGGUGUCCAACAGAGUUCAAAUGGCUGGAGGAGGUAAGAGGUGAGAAGUUGAAACAUGGAGGAAAAUUCCAGAGAAACAUGAAAUGGGAAAAGUGGAACUGGAAAGAUGACCAUUGACAAGGGAUUGUAUUGAACUGAACCCCACGAUGACACAGG